rnacentral:rRNA from 1 species
GUAGGUGGCAAGCGUUGUCCGGAAUUAUUGGGCGUAAAGCGCGCGCAGGCGGUUCUUUAAGUCUGAUGUGAAAGCCCACAGCUCAACCGUGGAGGGUCAUUGGAAACUGGAGAACUUGAGUACAGAAGAGGAAAGCGGAAUUCCACGUGUAGCGGUGAAAUGCGUAGAGAUGUGGAGGAACACCAGUGGCGAAGGCGGCUUUCUGGUCUGUAACUGACGCUGAGGCGCGAAAGCGUGGGGGGAGCAAACAGGAUUAGAUACCCUGGUAGUCCACGCCGUAAACCGAUGAGUGCUAAGUGUUAGGGGGUUUCCGCCCCCCCCCUUAGUGCUGCAGCUAACGCAUUAAGCACUCCGCCUGGGAGUACGGCCGCAAGGCUG